rnacentral:tRNA from 1 species
GGCCCCGUGGUGAAACUGGCAAACACUGCAGCCUUAAAAGCUGCUGCCCUAACGGGCUUCUGGGUUCGACCCCCAGCGGGGCCA